UUUUUUUUUUUUUUUUAUGGUCGCAGCCCUGACAUGUGAGGUUCCCUGGUCAGGGAUUGAAUCUGAGCCACAGCUGCAGCAAUGCCAGACCCCUUAACCUACAAAGGAUCAAACCCCUGCCUUCACAGCAACCCGAGCCACUGCAGUCAAGAUUCUUAACCCGCAGUGUCACAGCAGGAACUCCAUGUGGCAGCUUUUAAGAAAUGGAAACAGGGGGUUAUCCCAGAGGUGGCAGGCAGAGGGAAUGGCCAGAGUGAUUAGAGAUUGAUUACACUGAAGGAUCAUGUUAUUUGACUAAGCAAGUAAGUAAACAUAUUGCCAUACUGGGAGCCAAGUUUCUCACUAUCUGAAAAUUUAAAAACUUGGAGGGAGUGCCUACCAAGGCUCAGCGGUAACGAACCUGAGGAUGCAGAUCCAAUCCCUUGCCCUGACCAGUGGGUUAAGUAUUCAGCACUGCGACGAGCUGUGGUGUAGGUCGCAGACAUAGCUCGGAUCUGGACUUGCUGGUGCUGUCAUGUUGGCUAGCAGCUGCAGCCACACUUCGACCCCUAGCCUGGGAACUUCCAUACGCUGUGGGUGUGGCCCAAAAAAGGGAAAAAAAAAAAAAGAAAAGACAAACAUGGAAAGGAUGAAGACUAAAAAAAACUCAAGUAUUAGAUCAGAAUUGGAAAUAGUAUGACGUCAUGAGCUCAUGAUUUUUAUUUAUUUAUUUAUUUACUUAUUUAUUUUUUGUCUUUUUGCCAUUUCUUGGGCCACUCCCACGGCAUAUGGAGGUUCCCAGGUUAAGGGUCGAAUCAGAGCUCCNGCCACUGGCCUAUGCCAGAGCCACAGAAACAUGGGAUCUGAGCCUCAUCUGCAAACUACACCACAGCUCAAAGAAACACCGGAUCCAAAACCCACUGAGCGAGGCCAGGGAUUGAACCCGAAACCUCAUGGUUCCUGGUCAGAUUUGCUAACCACUGAUGGAAACUCCCCAUAUUUUUUUAAUAUAUGUACUAACACAGCAAUAGUUACAAAUCCAUUUACUUGUAUCAUUCUAGUCAUAUGCUAUAUAUACACACACACAAAAUAUAUAUUUAUAGUAAAUACAUAUUUCCAAAUAAAACAUAGAUAUGUAUUUCUGUUAUUUAUGUACACAUACACAUGUCCUUCUUAGCUCUGUCUGCUGAGCGGCUCUAGAAGCACUGACACUCCUGUAGCACUGAGCACACUUGAGUAACCAGAUUUUGGUGUCUAAAUCCUAACUACACCACAAGGAACCAGGGGGCUCUGUGGAGAACAUCUCACGCAGGAAAAGCACAAAAUGAGUCUGAAUCAUCUUGCUCACCAUAAAGUAAAGACAUGCCUGAGGAGUGACUCCAAACACGUCAAAAGGACACAAAAGCAGACCAAAGGGACACACGUGCUCUGGCCAAAUCGGGGUGAAUUUAGUCAUAAAAAUAAAUACGAACAACCCAAAUUAUAACCCUUGGAAUAAAAGAAAAGUACGAACAAAUACAAAGGAACAGAGAAGGAGGAAAACUCCUUUACCCUAAUACGGGUAGAAAGAAUGACGUCAAGAGACAAUCACCACUUGGCAAGCAACACACGAGCAGCUGACAGUGGCCGGAGCUGUGAGUACCGGCCACCACCGGUGCAUGGAGACUUGACAGGGAACAGGAGGUCUGACCAUCUUCCCUGACAAACUACGACAAAGGGGACAACACUUAUGUCACCGCAGACAAAGGCACCACACACCAACAGGACCGCUGAUGAAGGUUCCCAUCCGCCACGACGGGAGACGCCAGAAUCACGCAGCCCCUCGUGUCUUGCACUGAGAACACAGCCCCACUUCUGCGGUGUCCCUGCCAAGAGUCCACGGCCUGCGUCUGCACGUGAGGAAGCACUGGACGGGCCCGGCUUAAGGGCCUCCCUAGGAAAUGUGCUGUCCACUGUGUGUGAGGACGUGAGAGGUGGGGAAAGGGUACAGAACUGCUCAGGAUGAGAAAAGAUAGAGUGUUUCUGCAGAGAAUCCUGAGCCAAAAGGAAAAAAAGGCACUUUCUGGGGCAGAUGGUGAGGUCUGACGGAGCUUACGGAUCGGAUGGUAGCAACGGCCCCAACGCCAACUCCCUGGCUGCCAGGCACGUGAGGUGGUAACGUGGGAACAGUGGCCAGGGCACCCAAGGAUGACGGUACACGGUGUCAGAAAAAGACUAUGUGGGGGAGGGCGGGGGGCAAAGAGAGUCAAAAGGCAGCAGCUGGGGAAUCAAGGCAAGGGGACGUGGGACUCCUGGGCAUUCCUUUAACUGUUUGGUAAAAACUGUUGAAAUUUUUAAAAAAGUGGCCCCAGAAAAGGCAAAAAGAGGAAAAAAAAGGUUUUUUAAUAAAUAAAAAGAUGUCCACAACUUAGCUUUUGUGGUUUCUCCUAUAACCACGUUUCGCCCACCAUCCUCUUUCCUAAUAGAAGUAAACGGCCCUCUUGAUUCCACUCUUCCGCCUCUCAGGCCCCAAAUCUUAGGCAUGGGUUUUUCAGGUGUAAUCACACCCUGCAUCCCAUUCCCGAGCUAAUCCUGUUGGUUCCACCUACGAAACGGAGAGAAUCCACCCACCUCACACCACCACCCCAGUCACAGCCGACGGCCUCACGUCUCAACGGAGCCAAUGCAGACAUCGCCUCCGCACCGCGUCCCUGCCACUCACCCUGGCCCGACCACACAGCCUUUCCUCUAGACAGCUGCCAGGCCUUUGUUCUAAAAGGCUCGGAACUCCUCCCACGUCCCCCAGGGACCAUCAAAGCCGUAGUGCUUACUGUGGCCCACGGUCGACAGAACCUGCCACUCUCAAUGCCACCUCAGGCACUAUCCUAUUAUGGACGGAACUGCGUGCCCCCGAAUUCAAGUUGAAGUCCUACCUCCCAGCACCUUAGAAUACACUGUAUUUGGCUAUUCGGUCUUUCUUUGCUUUUUU
rnacentral:lncRNA from 1 species